AAUGAACGUUGGCGGCAUGGAUUAGGCAUGCAAGUCGAGCGAGAAGAGUUUUGAAGCUUGCUUUAGAACUCGGACAGCGGCGCAAGGGACAGUAAUGUGUAGAUUAUCUGCCCUCAGGACCGGGAUAGCUGCGGGAAACUGCAGGUAAUACCGGAUAACAUCUCCGGAUCAAAGGUGUGAUUCCGCCUGAGGAUGAGUCUACAUCCUAUUAGCUAGUUGGCAGGGUAAUGGCCUACCAAGGCGAUGAUGGGUAGCGGGUGUGAGAGCACGACCCGCGUCAUUGGGACUGAGACACUGCCCAGACACCUACGGGUGGCUGCAGUCGAGAAUCUUCGGCAAUGGGCGCAAGCCUGACCGAGCGACGCCGCGUGUGGGAUGAAGGCCUUCGGGUUGUAAACCACUGUUAGAGGGGAUGAAAUGCAGGUGGGUUCUCCCAUCUGUUUGACAUAGCCUCAGAGGAAGGACGGGCUAAGUUCGUGCCAGCAGCCGCGGUAAAAC
rnacentral:rRNA from 1 species